UAAAUAUCAUUACAUGCCCAUCAUUCGUUCAAAGUGGUCAAGAGUAGCGUAGUCAAGGCGGCUAACGACAAGAACUUAUUUAACUCAAAUCACAGAAUAAUUUUUUACUAAAAAUCAAUCUGGUUAUCAGCACCAAAUUCGAAAUAAAUAAACUUAAAUAAAAAUAAGAAUCGUAUGUGAUAUCGAUUGCUAUAGUGAAAAUUCCACGUCGAUUGAGUUUUUUCAUCGGAUUUGGUGUGAAUAGAAAAGAAUUCGGCAAGACGAUGUCGUCGCAACAACAAAAUAUUUGUGAUUGUAUGGACAAGGAUGUGUGUCAGGAGAGGCUACGUGGUUUGUUAUUAGCUGGUGAAUACAGAAUGGAAGAGGUAGAUCGACAUGUAAACCGACUAAGACAACACUCAGCCCAGACAGAACUCGUCCAGCCGGCACACGUCACAGUAAACAACCAGCCAGACCAGAUCGAAGUCAACCACCCAGCACAGAUCGCAGUCAACAACCAGCCAGACCAGAUCGAAGUCAACCACCCAGCACAGAUCGCAGUAAACCAGCCAGAAGAGCAAAUUGCAUACGAUGGUAUUCGAUAUCGUUUCAUCAAUCUAAUCACUAGAUAUUGGAGGUUUUUUGUAGAGGAUCUGGGAACGGAAUAUACGGUGAGACAACGUCUAACUCUCCUGCGAAAAAAUUGGAUUGAAAUGAUCGGAUUGUGAUUAAUUUAACAAUCAUGUUAUGGAAGGAUACAUCAUUAAAUUGCAAUCAAUACCAGCCUUGUUCACGCUAUAGUUAUUUAUGCUAAAUAACACACAUCGUGUGCCUAAAAAGCAUUUAUCACCGAGUUGUAUACAACGUUUUUC